rnacentral:rRNA from 1 species
AUGGCGGCGGCCAACGCCCCCAUCGCCAUGCGUGAGGCGCUCACGCUGACGAGCCUGGGGAUCGCGCCACAGUUCGUCACCUUCACCCAUGUCACCAUGGAGUCGGACAGGUACAUCUGCGUCCGGGAGACCUCGCCGCAGAACAGCGUCGUUAUCAUCGACAUGGCCAUGCCCAGCCAGCCCCUCCGCAGGCCUAUCACCGCCGAUUCCGCGCUCAUGAACCCCAACACUAGGAUCCUCGCGCUCAAAGCCCAAAUAGCUGGAACGACGCAGGAUCACUUGCAGAUCUUCAAUAUUGAAGCUAAAACAAAAGUAAAGUCGCACCAGAUGCCUGAGCAGGUUGUGUUCUGGAAAUGGAUCACCCCCAAGUUGUUGGGCUUGGUAACACAGACAUCUGUUUAUCACUGGUCAAUUGAAGGAGAUUCUGAACCCACCAAGAUGUUUGAUAGGACAGCUAAUCUGGCCAAUAAUCAGAUUAUUAACUACCGUUGUGACCCGGCAGAGAAGUGGCUCGUGCUUAUUGGAAUUGCACCUGGUGCUCCUGAGAGGCCGCAGUUGGUGAAGGGAAAUAUGCAACUUUUCUCUGUUGAUCAGCAGCGUAGCCAGGCACUUGAAGCCCAUGCAGCAUCUUUUGCAACUUUUAAGGUUCCUGGCAACGAGAAUCCAUCAACACUCAUCUGUUUUGCCUCGAAGGCAACUAAUGCUGGACAGAUUACUUCUAAGUUACAUGUUAUUGAACUGGGGGCCCAGCCAGGGAAACCUGGUUUUUCCAAGAAGCAAGCCGAUCUCUUCUUCCCACCAGAUUUUCAGGAUGAUUUUCCUGUAGCCAUGCAGAUCUCUCAAAAGUAUGGACUUGUUUAUGUAAUUACGAAGCUUGGCCUUUUGUUUGUGUAUGACUUGGAAACUGCUGCAGCAGUUUAUAGAAAUAGAAUCAGUCCAGAUCCUAUAUUCUUGACAGCAGAGUCUUCUACAACUGGUGGAUUUUAUGCCAUCAACAGAAGAGGGCAGGUCUUACAUGCCACAGUUAAUGAUGCGACUGUUGUGCCUUUUGUCAGCGGCCAAUUAAAUAACCUUGAGCUAGCUGUGAAUCUUGCCAAAAGAGCUAACCUUCCUGGGGCGGAGAACUUGGUUGUGCAAAGAUUUCAGGAACUGUUUUCACAAACAAAAUACAAGGAAGCGGCGGAGCUCGCCGCAGAAUCCCCUCAGGGUCUUCUGCGAACCCCUGAGACUGUCGCAAAAUUUCAGAGUGUUCCUGUUCAAGCUGGGCAAACGCCUCCACUGUUGCAGUACUUUGGCACAUUGCUAACUCGAGGGAAGCUCAAUGCUUAUGAGUCCCUUGAGUUAUCUCGACUUGUUGUCAAUCAGAACAAAAAGAACCUUCUAGAAAAUUGGUUGGCAGAAGACAAGUUGGAAUGCAGUGAAGAGCUAGGAGAUCUUGUUAAGACGGUAGACAAUGACCUUGCAUUGAAAAUAUACAUAAAGGCUAGGGCAACGCCUAAAGUUGUUGCUGCUUUUGCCGAAAGGAGGGAGUUUGACAAGAUCCUUAUAUAUUCAAAGCAGGUUGGAUACACUCCCGAUUACCUUUUCCUCCUCCAGACCAUCCUACGUACAGAUCCACAGGGAGCUGUAAAUUUUGCUCUCAUGAUGUCACAAAUGGAGGGUGGUUGUCCAUUAGAUUAUAAUACCAUAACCGAUCUCUUCCUUCAGAGAAAUAUGAUACGAGAGGCAACAGCUUUUCUGCUGGAUGUUCUGAAACCAAACUUGGAAGAGCAUGCUUUUCUGCAAACCAAGGUUUUGGAGAUCAACUUGGUGACUUACCCUAAUGUUGCUGAUGCCAUCCUUGCUAACGGUAUGUUCAGUCAUUACGACCGCCCACGCAUUGCUCAACUGUGUGAAAAGGCUGGUUUGUACUUGCGAGCCCUCCAGCACUAUGCAGAGUUGCCUGAUAUCAAACGUGUCAUUGUAAAUACCCAUGCCAUUGAACCACAGGCACUCGUUGAGUUCUUUGGAACCCUUUCAAAAGAAUGGGCACUAGAGUGCAUGAAAGACCUUCUACUGGUCAAUCUGAGAGGAAACCUUCAAAUAGUUGUGCAGGCCGCCAAAGAAUACUCUGAGCAGCUAGGUGUCGAUGGUUGCAUAAAACUAUUUGAGCAAUUUAAAUCUUAUGAGGGCCUGUACUUUUUCUUGGGAUCCUAUUUGAGCUCCAGUGAGGAUCCAGAUAUCCACUUCAAGUACAUAGAAUCAGCUGCAAGGACUGGACAAAUCAAAGAAGUUGAGCGUGUAACCAGAGAGUCUAAUUUCUAUGAUGCUGAGAAGACAAAGAACUUUCUGAUGGAAGCAAAACUACCUGAUGCCCGACCACUGAUUAAUGUUUGUGACCGCUUUGGUUUUGUUCCAGAUCUAACUCACUAUCUGUACACGAAUAACAUGCUCAGGUAUAUUGAAGGCUAUGUACAGAAGGUUAACCCUGGGAAUGCUCCAUUGGUAGUGGGGCAGCUACUUGAUGAUGAGUGCCCUGAAGAUUUCAUUAAGGGUUUGAUUCUAUCUGUCCGCUCUCUCCUUCCUGUUGAGCCACUAGUUGACGAGUGCGAGAAGAGGAACCGCUUACGUCUGCUUACACAAUUCUUGGAGCACUUAGUGAGCGAGGGUAGCCAAGAUGUGCAUGUCCAUAAUGCUCUUGGGAAAAUUAUCAUCGACAGCAACAACAACCCAGAGCAUUUCCUUACUACCAAUCCAUUUUAUGACUCUCGUGUGGUUGGUAAAUACUGUGAAAAGCGGGAUCCUACACUUGCUGUUGUUGCUUACAGGCGUGGACAAUGUGAUGAUGAACUUAUUAACGUCACUAACAAAAACUCACUUUUCAAGCUGCAAGCUAGGUAUGUGGUUGAAAGAAUGGAUGGUGAUCUUUGGGAUAAAGUUCUACUGCCUGAAAAUGAAUACAGAAGGCAGUUCAUUGACCAAGUUGUUUCUACCGCACUGCCUGAAAGCAAGAGCCCUGAGCAAGUUUCUGCUGCUGUUAAGGCUUUCAUGGAAGCUGACCUCCCGCAUGAGCUGAUUGAACUUCUUGAAAAGAUUGUCCUCCAGAAUUCUGCAUUCAGUGGAAACUUUAAUCUUCAGAACCUGCUCAUCUUGACAGCCAUUAAGGCAGACCCAUCCAGGGUCAUGGACUAUGUUAACAGACUGGACAACUUUGAUGGCCCUGCUGUCGGAGAAGUAGCUGUCGAGGCACAACUGUAUGAGGAGGCUUUUGCCAUAUUUAAGAAGUUCAACUUAAAUGUUCAGGCUGUCGAUGUUCUGUUAGAUAACAUCCAAAGCAUAGAAAGAGCUGAAGAGUUUGCAUUCCGUGUUGAAGAAGAUGCUGUUUGGAGCCACGUUGCCAAGGCCCAGUUGCGUGAAGGUCUAGUCAGUGAAGCAAUUGAGUCAUUCAUCCGUGCAGAUGACGCAACACAUUUCCUUGAUGUCAUCCGUGCUGCUGAGGAAGCUGAUGUAUACCAUGAUCUUGUCAAGUACUUGCUGAUGGUAAGGCAAAAGGCAAGGGAGCCCAAAGUCGAUGGAGAACUCAUCUUUGCAUAUGCAAAGAUUGAUAGGCUCAGCGACAUUGAAGAGUUUAUUCUUAUGCCAAAUGUUGCUAAUCUCCAAAAUGUUGGUGACCGGCUUUACGAUGAAGAACUUUAUGAAGCUGCAAAGAUCAUCUAUGCCUUCAUCUCUAACUGGGCUAAGUUGGCUGUCACCCUGGUCAAGCUGAAGCAGUUCCAAGGAGCUGUAGAUGCUGCUCGCAAGGCUAACAGCGCUAAAACAUGGAAGGAGGUCUGCUUUGCUUGUGUUGAUGUUGAGGAGUUCCGUCUAGCACAAAUAUGCGGUCUCAAUAUCAUCAUUCAGGUUGAUGACUUGGAAGAAGUGAGUGAAUACUAUCAGAACAGAGGAUGCUUCAAUGAACUUAUUUCUCUCAUGGAGAGUGGUCUUGGACUUGAGCGUGCGCACAUGGGCAUCUUUACAGAACUUGGAGUCCUUUAUGCUAGAUACCGCCCUGAGAAGCUCAUGGAACACAUCAAGCUUUUCUCCACCCGGCUGAAUAUUCCUAAGCUUAUCCGUGCUUGUGAUGAACAACAACACUGGAAAGAGCUUACGUACCUAUACAUCCAAUAUGAUGAAUUUGACAAUGCUGCUACCACUAUUAUGAACCAUUCUCCAGAUGCAUGGGAUCAUAUGCAAUUUAAGGAUGUUGCUGUUAAGGUCGCAAAUGUUGAGAUAUAUUACAAGGCUGUGCACUUCUAUUUGCAAGAACACCCUGAUCUCAUCAAUGAUCUUCUCAAUGUGCUUGCGCUUCGCUUGGAUCACACAAGAGUUGUAGACAUAAUGCGCAAGGCUGGUCAGUUGCAUCUUGUGAAACCAUACAUGGUUGCUGUUCAGAGCAACAAUGUCUCUGCUGUCAAUGAAGCAUUGAAUGAGCUUUAUGUUGAGGAGGAGGACUAUGAGAGGCUCCGUGAGUCAGUUGACAUGCAUGAUAACUUUGAUCAGAUAGGUCUUGCCCAGAAGCUUGAGAAACAUGAAUUGCUUGAGAUGAGGAGGAUUGCUGCCUACAUUUACAAGAAAGCUGGCAGAUGGAAGCAAUCUAUUGCCCUAUCGAAGAAAGACAACAUGUACAAGGAUUGCAUGGAAACAUGCUCACAGUCUGGUGACCGUGAGCUGUCGGAGGAUUUACUCGUCUAUUUUAUCGAGCAGGGAAAGAAAGAAUGUUUUGCUUCUUGCCUCUUCAUUUGUUACGACUUGAUUCGUGCGGAUGUUGCUCUCGAGCUUGCAUGGACAAACAACAUGCUGGACUUUGCUUUCCCCUACCUAUUACAGUUCAUCCGUGAGUACACAAGCAAGGUAGAUGAUCUGGUGAAGGACAGGAUUGAAUCGCAGAAAGAAGAAAAAGCCAAAGAGCAGGAAGAGAAGGACGUCGUUGCUCAGCAGAACAUGUACGCUCAAUUACUCCCUCUCGCCUUGCCUGCUCCGCCUGGUAUGGGGGGUCCACCUCCGAUGGGCGGGAUGGGUAUGCCUCCAAUGGGCGGGAUGGGUAUGCCUCCGAUGGGUGGGAUGGGUAUGCCUCCGAUGGGUCCUGGUCCGAUGCCGGCAUAUGGGAUGCCUCCAAUGGGAAACUACUGA